UCACUAGAAAUAAAAUCCAGCAGUUUUUGUCCAGGGUUACACUGAAGACAACUGGCUCAAGAGAAACAAGCAAACAUGAAGUCCUUGUCUGUGGCUGUUGUCGUGCUGCUGCUGGUGCUGUCGUUACACUGUGAGGACAGUGUGGUUGAGGGAAAAUGCUGUUAUAAUGGAAACGGACUCUGUAAAUCACACAACGAAUGCCGGAGGUUUGGGGGACAUCCUGCCAUUAGAACAGAAUGUGGAUUUUUAAGGUGUUGUAUAUAGCCCAUGGCAAGUAUCAUCAGAGGUUCCGUGGCUCGAUCCUCCAAGAUCAAACUCUUAUAGGACGUCACAAAGCAUCAGUAGAAGAUCAUAUUCACUAAAUCAGGAAAUAUUUAUUGUAAUUAUUGUGUUUUUUUUUAUACUUAAACUUUGUUAAAGAUUUACUGUAAUUCUGAUUUUCUGAGGUGUUCAAUGCAAUCCUUUGUAAAUGUUGAAUUAAAGUAGUCUACUUAAAGAAAUAAGACCAUGUGGACUAUAUAAUGUGUUAACUGUAUUAAUCACUCUGUGGCAGUUAAUAAAUUGUGUUUUACUGA